AGCGAACGCUGGCGGCAGGCCUAACACAUGCAAGUCGAACGAACCUUUCGGGGUUAGUGGCGGACGGGUGAGUAACACGUGGGAACGUGCCUUUAGGUUCGGAAUAACUCAGGGAAACUUGUGCUAAUACCGAAUGUGCCCUUCGGGGGAAAGAUUUAUCGCCUUUAGAGCGGCCCGCGUCUGAUUAGCUAGUUGGUUGAGGUAAUGGCUGACCAAGGCGACGAUCAGUAGCUGGUCUGAGAGGAUGAUCAGCCACAUUGGGACUGAGACACGGCCCAAACUCCUACGGGAGGCAGCAGUGGGGAAUCUUGCGCAAUGGGCGAAAGCCUGACGCAGCCAUGCCGCGUGAAUGAUGAAGGUCUUAGGAUUGUAAAAUUCUUUCACCGGGGACGAUAAUGACGGUACCCGGAGAAGAAGCCCCGGCUAACUUCGUG
rnacentral:rRNA from 1 species